UUUUUUUUUUUUUUUCCUACUUGAUUCAUAUUUGCACUGUAAUAAAAUUUGCCUUACUUUUCUUUUAAAAUCCUUGGCAAAUCAUUACUAAUAUCAUGGCGGGGACAAAACCUGGACACUUGUCUAGGAAGAUACAUUAAUAUCUGUGCGGGGGGCUGUCACCAGACCUGCAAACAAAGUGAAUGGGCUGCAUGUGUUCAAGCCAUCUGUAGCAGCAACACAGCCACGUGGACUUCAUCAGUGUUUUGCAGUGUGGCCCUACCGUACAAAGCUCCCAGGGGUGAAUUUCACUCAGAAGAGGAAACCAAGUGCUAAACCAAAAUGCCAUUUCUGUGGUUAUUAGAGAUGAAGACAAUGAAUAAGAUUCAGACCUGAAGGCCUAGGCCACCCCAGAAGAACUAGGCGUAUGAUUUAGUUGGGUCUACAAAUGGGGCUCAGCAGUGAAGUGCAAACCCAGCAGUGGGCUCCAGUAGCUCCAUCAAUGAAUUAAACAAAAUGUUAGUUCCCAGCAAAUAACUCUGAAAGAUGUGAUUCAGCAAAGAGUUUCUACACCAUUUAAGUAUUUUUCUUGGCCAAGAACAGGCUGCAAAGAGGGAUCCUCUAGGAAUCACAGAAAAUGCUGCUAACCUCCAAAUAAAAGGAGAAACAGAUUUGUCACCCAAGAGAUGCAACCAAUACUUUUGCAUCCAAUUGGGGCCCAUCUAGUGAAAAGAUUGAUUACUGGGUUGGUACCAUCUUUAGUAUUUCUAAAGCCCUGGGAAUGACUAUUAUAGCCAUUGCAACAGUCCCUGCCUUCUUCCUGUGACAGUUUUUAUUGGCAGAUCUCAGUGUGCUUUACAAAAGGCAUCAUGAUCGUUAACUCCCUCUUACAAAUAGGAUGAAUAAGGAACAAGCAGGGAGGGAGGGGGCAAGAUCUCUCCUGAGGUCAAAUAAGGACUCAGACACAAACAUGCACAGUGCCAGACCAGUGAUCAGCUGUGGAAGAUCCUAAGCUAACGCGUCUACUUGUCUGCUUUGGGCCUCUGGUUUUUAUUUUUAAAGAAAAUUCCUGCACACAAAUCUUUCAUUCUUCUCAUGGGUUACUCAUGGAUGAUCAUGGAGGACCAUGGAUCUGGACACAGAGAUCAUUCUGGUAAUCGUCACACAGAGAAGACUGCAGUGAAGGAAUGAGCUAUGAAGCUAUGAGCCUUUCAUUCAGAGUGGUGCAAGCAGGGCACCAGAGCCUCUCGCAGGAUCAAGGGACAAGGAUUAGGCCCUGGGGCAGCCUAGAAAUUGAGAUCAGACUGAAGGCCGAGCCUACAAAUCAUUACAUCUGUGAACCCAUGCGCAGGUACGGAUUUCUUUGAAGGCAACAGCUGCAAUGUAAGAAAAUGAAAUUAAAGGAAUUACUCAUUUGUUUAAAAGCUAUAUUCAGAUGAAGAAGAGAAAGAGCUCUGCAUGUAGCAGAGAAACCACAUAGCCUUUUACCCCAUCCAACCACUCCCAACUUUCAAAAUCCAGCUUCACACUUAGCUUUACCUCUGUCACCUUUUUUUCAUCCUUGAUCCUGAACUUUCCUCAGCUCCUAUUUUUCCUGUAUCUAUUAAUCUGCCUCAGAUACCCUCUGUGACUGUCACCUUUGUUUAAAUUCUCAUGUAUAUCACUCUUCUCUCACCUUGACUUCUGCGCUUCCUUUUUCUAUGACAUUCCCAGACCCAGCAUGAGACAUCCACACAAUAAUUCCGCCUUACUUCCAGGGCAUUCUGAAAGCUCAGCUCAUCCUACUCUCAAAUAAUUCCACAUAUCUCUGUAUCAAUUUCAAAUUGCCUGUCCCACUACAAAUCUACUGCUCAAUUUAGAAUUUUCAUCUCUUUAUUGUGACCCAUUUCCUUUCUCAGCUAUUUCAUGGUUGUUUCUUUGUUUUGUUUUGCUUUUAAUAGAAAGUCACUAUUGUUUAGAAAAUUCAGUUCCAUCUGGAAUAGCUUUUGUCUAUUGUUAUCUCAUUGAAUUUUUGAGCCAAAUUUAUAUCUCCUGUAGUGUUUCUUUUGAAGUCAGUGAGAUUAUGUCCAUUCGCUAUUGUUUAACCCACAGAUAUUUCUUAAAUAGCAGAAGGAAAAACAUAUUUUAUCCUCUUGAUUUCUCUUUCUACAAUUCUGAAUUUAUUAUAUAUAUAUAUUACAUAGAGCGGCUUAUCCUGUAAAGUGCUCUAGAAAAGAUAUAUAUGAAAUUAUUGGUAUAAAACGAAAUUGUCCUAUAUCUCUACUUCUGUAAAUCCCUGUGUUAUCUUUGGCUACAUGAUACAUCUUAAUCAUGGAAUUAAAGCUGAAUACUAAAUAUGUGUACAUGUAAGCCCCAAGGAAUACUAAAUUUCUUUUUUUCCUUUCAACUAGGCAUGCUAUUAAUUAAUGCAUAGCAAAAUGAUUAAAAGCAUUUUUCAAAUAAUGAACAAUACAGAGACAGAUGAGUUAAUUGAUUGAUUGGUGUAUGAGCUGGGUCUUAAUGGAUUAGCAUUUGCAUAUUAACACAGACCCAAUCUCCCUCUCUUAAUGAGCUGCUUGCCACAUUUUGUCUUCUUUUAAACAGCAGUGAGCGUGAUAAAACAAAUAAACCCACUGGAUUGCUCCCUGUCAAGGGACCAAAGUACAAGCUUAAAAAAGGCCUCUCUCCAGCACUGAUUUAUAGAAGCACUUUGUACAUCAGUGUAGUGGGUACACAGGGACAGUCACGCUUUAUCGCAGGUUCCUUGUGAAAAAAGCCAUUCUGCAAAUCCCAGAAAUUUACAGCCACUGGUUAUAAGAUGCUUACAACGUGAUUUUCUCCACAAUGACCUGGUGUUUGUCUCAGCUGGUUUCGCUGCACGAGAAGACAGAGUGGGAUGUCACAAACCGGCUCAUUCCAUCUGUGGCCUUUCUGCUGCCAUCAGCAGCAGGGCUGUGCAUGUCUGUCUGAUCUAGCCUUCUACAAGGAAAGAACAUGAAUCUUUUCAGGUAGGUAAGUGGUAAUUUUUAAUCACUGGGGUCACUGAGAAGGAUUUCAAACAUUCCAGCAUCCUCAAUAGUCAAAGGCUAGAUAUGGGCAGUCCCAUGAAGACAAAAGCAGUGAAUGCAUUUCCCACCAGGAACAUGUCCACAAUAACAUGGAAAAUCUGUUUUCCUUUCAGAAACAGAGUUCAUUCUUGCUUAGUCAACAAUAAUUAAAACCAAAACAAAAUGAAACAAAAUAUGUUCAUGUUUUUUGUGCCUGUCUAUUGCUGUCACCAGGAAGAUCUGUGCGACUUUUGGUGUAGUAUCAUGCACCAUUGCAGGGCACAAAGAUCUCCUUAACACUAUACACACACAGCAGCACAUACAUGGCCGUAAUCAUGACUUCUUGUUUCCAAGUUAACUGGCAAUUUGAGGAGCUUCUGGGGCCCAACUUAAUAUCACAAUAUGGAAUUGCACCACUGCACCAUAUACCAACGGAUCUGAAGCCAACUCAGAGAUCUGUAACACACCACUGGUUUGAGCGAUGUAGACAUGCCCUUCGUGUUCUUGGCCCACGGCCUUCAUUAGAGUCAAUUGGCACAGCAGUAUUACAGUCACUUCCCUAUUUGCACGGGUUGAGGAUCUGGUCCAUUAUGUGUUUUGGCCGCAGAGAACAGCUCUGCCUUCUGCUCAGCUGGCUGGCUGUGAAGACAGCAGUCGCUGGGUUUUGAACUUGGCAUUCAGGGUCAAACUGGGUGACACUUCAAAGCCACCAGGCUUGGGCAAGUUUCCAAAGUUUCUAGGAAACCCAUGCAACCUCCUGCUACCUGGGAUUCCCUUGGAUUGUUUUACUAAGCUCCCAUGGCUAUUGAGGUCAAUGUUUGCUGUGGAUGCGUGGAAAGACUUGUCCAAGUCUGACCCAAACUGGUGAUGAAGGGCAACACCAGCUCCCAGGGCUGGAUGGGAAGCAUCAGGGAGCCAGCAGCUCAGGUGGGAUGCGCUGUCUUCACGGUGAAUUGCCAGACGAUGAACUAGCUGCAAAGUUUGAAUGACUUCUGUAUUCAUCCGCGAAGAGAUCGUGCUGUAGUUUUGAUUGUCAUGGUUCAUUAGAUAAGAAGGGUAUUUUCAUCUAAGGGGUACACUUCAAAGCAACCUUUAGAAAAUGGGAUCAUUUGUGAACCUUAUACCAAAUGGAUUUUAGCUCCUGUUUGAACAACAUAGAUAAUUAAUUCACUUAGUUUUUUUCUUAAUGCAAAUUUAUUUUCUGUGAAAACAAAUAUGUUGUUUGAAUUGGAUUGUCCUAAAUUUAAUGUAAGCUUAUCUGUGUUAGUUUAAUGCAGAACAUUGUACUGAUCCUUUACUUUCCUGUACAGUUGCUUUUUUAGAUUCUAUCAACCUGUUCUAAUCAUUCAAAUUCUAAAAGAAAUUGGAA